rnacentral:tRNA from 1 species
GCGCCUGUAGCUCAGCUGGAUAGAGCGGCAGACUACGAAUCUGUAGGCCAGGGGUUCGAAUCCCUUCAGGCGCGCCA